CCUACGGGCGGCAGCAGUGAGGAAUAUUGGUCAAUGGGCGCGAGCCUGAACCAGCCAAGUAGCGUGAAGGAUGACUGCCCUACGGGUUGUACACUUCUUUUAUAAAGGAAUACAGUGAGGCACGUGUGCCUUUUUGUCAGUACUUUAUGAAUAAGGAUCGGCUAACUCCGUGCCAGCAGCCGCGGUAAUCAGGAGGAUCCGAGCGUUAUCCGGUUUUAUUGGGUUUAAAGGGAGCGUAGAUGGGUUGUUACGUCAGUUGUGAAAGUUUGCGGCUCAACCGUAAAAUUGCAAUUGAUACUGGCAGUCUUGAGUACAGUUGAGGUAGGCGGAAUUCGUGGUGUAGCGGUGAAAUGCUUAGAUAGCACGAAGAACUCCGAUUGCGAAGGCAGCUUACUAAACUGCCACUGACAUUGAUGCUCGAAAGUGUGGGUAUCAAACAGGAGUAGAUACCCUUGUAGUC
rnacentral:rRNA from 1 species